rnacentral:rRNA from 1 species
UACAUGCAAGUCGAGCGGAUGAAGAGGAGCUUGCUCCUUGGAUUCAGCGGCGGACGGGUGAGUAACACGUGGGCAACCUGCCUGUAAGACUGGGAUAACUCCGGGAAACCGGGGCUAAUACCGGAUAACUUCUUUUCCCGCAUGGGGAGAGGUUGAAAGACGGUUAUGCUGUCACUUACAGAUGGGCCCGCGGCGCAUUAGCUAGUUGGUGGGGUAACGGCCUACCAAGGCGACGAUGCGUAGCCGACCUGAGAGGGUGAUCGGCCACACUGGGACUGAGACACGGCCCAGACUCCUACGGGAGGCAGCAGUAGGGAAUCUUCCGCAAUGGACGAAAGUCUGACGGAGCAACGCCGCGUGAGUGACGAAGGCCUUCGGGUCGUAAAACUCUGUUAUCAGGGAAGAACAAGCAUCAUUUAACUGAUGGUGCUUGACGGUACCUGACCAGAAAGCCACGGCUAACUACGUGCCAGCAGCCGCGGUAAUACGUAGGUGGCAAGCGUUGUCCGGAAUUAUUGGGCGUAAAGCGCGCGCAGGCGGCUUCUUAAGUCUGAUGUGAAAGCCCACGGCUCAACCGUGGAGGGUCAUUGGAAACUGGGAGGCUUGAGUGCAGAAGAGAAGAGCGGAAUUCCACGUGUAGCGGUGAAAUGCGUAGUGAUGUGGAGGAACACCAGUGGCGAAGGCGGCUCUUUGGUCUGUAACUGACGCUGAGGUGCGAAAGCGUGGGGAGCGAACAGGAUUAGAUACCCUGGUAGUCCACGCCGUAAACGAUGAGUGCUAAGUGUUAGGGGGUUUCCGCCCCUUAGUGCUGCAGCAAACGCAUUAAGCACUCCGCCUGGGGAGUACGGCCGCAAGGCUGAAACUCAAAGGAAUUGACGGGGGCCCGCACAAGCGGUGGAGCAUGUGGUUUAAUUCGAAGCAACGCGAAGAACCUUACCAGGUCUUGACAUCCCGCUGGCCGGCGUAGAGAUACGCCUUUCCCUUCGGGGACAGCGGUGACAGGUGGUGCAUGGUUGUCGUCAGCUCGUGUCGUGAGAUGUUGGGUUAAGUCCCGCAACGAGCGCAACCCUUGAUCUUAGUUGCCAGCAUUUGGUUGGGCACUCUAAGGUGACUGCCGGUGACAAACCGGAGGAAGGUGGGGAUGACGUCAAAUCAUCAUG